ensembl:lncRNA
CAGAGGGCAGGGUUCACCCCCUCCCCGCGGCCGGCGGGCGGGCGGUGCUUCCCUUCCUUUCCCCUUCCCUUUUCCCCGGCGGCGGUGCCCGGCCGGGGCGGAAGGGAACGGCCGGCAUUGGGCUGGGUUCCGCCUGAGCGCCGCAGCUCCCUCCGUUCAGCGCUUUGUAGAGCGGAGGGAGAGCUCUGCGCCGCGGGGUGAGAGCUCGGGCCCUUCUCCUGCUGCGAACCGCCUGCGGAAGUUAUGGACCUUGUUUGAUUUUUUACCCACCCCACCCUGACCAUUCUGCUUGAUUUAAGUGAGGAUGUGAAAACAACUCCUUUAUGUUCUGGGGGUGCACUUCUGUGGAGUCGGUACACACGUAUAAAUGCACCAGAAGGAAUAGGAAAUGGACUGGCAGUGUGCAAGAAGGUGCAUUACCUAUCGUUAAUGGAGAGAAAGUAUGGGAAGCUGGGAGCACCAACACUAGAGAACAAACAGAGUGCAAAUAAACACUGUUUUGAGACCAGCAACUCCAGCUUUGUUGGCUUUUCUUCAAUGUUCUGGCCCUUCUUUUCUCAGCUGUCUUCUUCUAGUCCUACACAGGUAGAGAGAGGCAAGGAAAAGGACAAUGCAGAG